CUCUGAUUCUAGCCAUGAAUGUUGUGAAGUCAGGGAUUCUAAGUCAGUAUCUUCUUUAACUAUAGCAAACUUAUUCUUUACAGAUCCAUUGAGGAAUUUGUUGAGUAGCUCCUUCCCCUUGGCUUCACUUAUAGCUUUGGCAGACAUACUUUACUGCUGUAAAAUAAUAAUGGGGUUGUUAGUUAAAUCACCUCCAUAUUCAACAA
rnacentral:lncRNA from 1 species